rnacentral:rRNA from 1 species
GGGUCAGUAGGUUGGUCGUGCCACCGGUACGUACUGGUCUCACUGAUUCCUCCUUCCUGAGGAACCGUAAUGCCAUUAAUUUGGUGUUGCGGGGAAACAGGACUGUUACUUUGAAAAAAUUAGAGUGUUUAAAGCAAGCUAACGCUUGAAUACAUUAGCGUGGAAUAAUGAAAUAGGACGAUCGAUCCUAUUUUGUUGGUUUCUAGGAUUGACGUA